GGCCUCGUGGCCCAAUGGCAAGGCGUCUGACUACGAUUGAGUAAAUCAGGAGAUUCUGGGUUCGACCCCCAGCGAGGUCA